AUGAACAUUCUAGCCUGGAACUGUCAAGGAUUGGGGUUGGACUCGACGGUUGGCGAAUUAUGAGACCUGAUUAGGUCCUACAACCCAGCGGUGGUGUUCUUAUGUGAAACGAAGAAAAAGGCGAGAGGGAUGGAUAGGUUAAAAUGGAGUUUGGGGUUUAGACAUGGGGUGGCAGUGGAUUGCAACGGAAGGAGUGGUGGACUGGCCAUGUGG
rnacentral:rRNA from 1 species